AGUGAACGCUGGCGGCAUGCCUAAUACAUGCAAGUCGAACGACAGCACAGUAAGCUUUCUCCUCUACCGUUGGCGACUGGCGGAUGGGUAACACGUACAUAACCUACCUCUAUUACUGGGGUAACUUCGGAGGGCAACUGAUGCUACCACAUCAUAUAUCGUACCGCAUAAUUCAGUAGAGCAUCACACCUUGCGCGUCUCAAUUAGCUGAUUCCGCGCCGCAUUAGCUAGUUGGUAAGGUAACGGCUUACCAAGGCAACGAUGCGUAGCCGAGCUGAGAGGGUGAUCGGCCACACUGGAACUGAGACACGGUCCAGACUCCUACGGGAGGCAGCAGUAGGGAAUCUUGCGCAAUGGGCGAAAGCCUGAUGCAGCAAUGCCGCGUGAGUGAUGAAGGUCUUCGGAUUGUAAAACCCUUUUAUUAGGGAAGAAAAAAAGCGGAAGAAACCACGCAUGUUUUGACGGUACCUAAUCAGAAAGCCACGGCUAACUUCGUG
rnacentral:rRNA from 1 species